GUAUUCAGCUGAAAAAGUCAUGAACAUAAAAGUUGUAGAACUCAUCAAGACAUACAACUUUUAUUUUGGUCAUUUCUUCAUCCGACAAAGUGAUAGUAAUAUUGUUCACAAAAUUUACAUCUCUCUCUUAUAGUUUAUAAAACCAAAUGAGAGAUAUGUAAAUUUUAUAAACAAUGUUACUAUCACUUUAUCGGAUGAAGAAAUGACCAAAAUAAAAGUUAUAGAUCUUGAUGAGUUAUACAACUUUGUUGUUGAUGAUUUUUUUCAAUUGAAAUC
rnacentral:pre_miRNA from 1 species